CACACAGCCAUUUUCUUAGCAGCUUUUUGACUGUAUGUUACCAAAGUCCCACAAGGCAUUGGUCCUUUCCCAUUGGGAAGUCAUGAAUAAGAGACUAUGAAGCUCACACGUCAGAUCUUCCUCAAUUAAUCCACCAUUAGCAUGUUCGGGGUCCACUACUGGAUGGUUAACAGCGGCUUUUGUAACUGUACGCCGACCAUACCCAAUUAUGCUUUGCUAAAAAUGAACUCUUUGCAGACCAAGCCUCUCGGGCUGUCAGUGUUUUCCGUUUUCCUAUUUUAACGUUUGUGUAUAGUGGCAGGCGACAGAUGGUGUGGAUCAGAUCGAUUUGAUUGCAUUAGAUGAUUUUCCCCCCUUCCCCACGCCUUUCUGGAAGCUCGCAUCAGCUGAAGGCUCUCGCCUGGGACUCCUCCGAAGCAUGAGCAAGCCGCCACCACGCGAAGGCACUGGGGCACAGCCAGCGAAAGGCGACGAGGUCCCUUCCCAGGGCUUGUUAACACUGUAACCGGGCGCUCACAGAGCAGCGGCUCCCACUGCCCAAGCCUGCCUAGCCGCCCAUCCGAAGACUCCUGGCUUCUGCACACAGUUGGAGUUCAGCCGGCAACCUGGAUUUAGAGGGGUUCGCUCUCUGCCAUGACACUCAAUCAAAGCACCUAGAGUGGGCUGGCCAUGACCAGAGUCCGCAUGAAGCAGAGCAAGUACCAAGGAGAGCGCUGGGUGAUCACCAGAAUUGGAAAUAGAACAGCCAUUUGGAAGAUCUGGGCAGGAAGCAACAGAGCACAGCUUUGGAGCCUUCUUUAGGGAAAUCGAGUUAUGGAUUUAUGGUCCCGGUCAAGCUCAGCCCAGCCCUAGCCAGGGGCGGGCUCCGCAGCAAGAGUUCUUUCUGGUGGUGGCGGCGGCGGCAGCGGCAGCAGUGACAGCGGUAGCAGAGGCAGAGGCAGCGGCAGCUUGGCCCUCUGACUCUCUUCGGUGACGGGUAUUCUUGGGUGGAUAAUACGGAUUACGUUGUUAUUGCUUAAGAAUACGCGUAGUCGAGGAGAGUACCAGCGGCAGGCGGGCAGCGGCCGCCCCUCCCAGCCCACCAGCUGGCCACUAAAAGCUCCCGGUUGCCAAGAAGUGUGAGCAAGUCAUUUUGCUGGAUGUCCACGUAUUUCGUUGAGCCAUUUGAAGACAUUAUGAGUGGGGUUAUUGAACCUUCCCUUGCUCUAGGACAAUGCAAGCCUGCAUCUGUUCACCAAGUAACAGGGAUUCUAUUUAGUGCUCAAUGCUGAUGAUCCAGAACGAAGGUCUGAGAGUUUAUGCCACAGGUAAGAGGAAGAAAAAGGUGAAUAUAUGGAAACCAUGAGAAACAGGGAAGCAAAGAGAUUUGUUGGAGUACAAGCUUAAGGAUUUGAAGAUGGAGGGCCACUUCAAAAACAGGGUAAGAUGCCACACUAAGUGGCUCCGGGUCGUGUCCUGUUGCUGUUGUAAAAUAUACCACCCAAAGUUUCUUUAAGCAAUAAAUGACUUCUUACAGCUCACAGUCCAAACACAAGCCAGUAUGAUAGGGGAGUGAGGGAUCAGAUAGCUGACAGAGCUGAGUGCAUCACACUGAGCAGUAAGUGUGUGCACACGAGUGCUGAGGUCACUUUCUCCAAGGUCCCCUGCCUAGGACUGGGGCCACCCACAGACAGCAGGUAUUUACAUGGUAGUUAACUGAAUCAAGGUAAUCCCCCACAGGUACAUCCACAGGCCAAUCUCCCAGGUGAUUCAAGACUUUUGUCGGGUUGAUAUGAACCAUCACACUAAUCAAACUUGUAAAUGCCUUGCAAUAGUGAUUGAAAGGAGAGAAAAGGAGUUCCUAGAAGCAGUGCCUAAAUUGGUUUCUGGAACUUUAUCAUAAUUUGAUUAGUUCUGAAGUAAUGUUCCUGCUAUGGAAUUGAUUUUCAAGACAGAAAGAAGAGGCACCUCUGUCUGUUUAAGUUGUAACACUGCAUAGUGGGAAUGGUAUAUCAGAUGUGGAAGACAUUCAUCUACCACGGCUUGGAAGAUGAUCUUUGUAGACAAUCUGGAACCUGGACAGCUGCUCCCUCCUCCCUGCUGUGUAUGUAAUCUUGGCAGGAGUCUCCUACUACUUAACAAAAGCUGACUGUGUGCAUCAUGGCCCUAACCUCAUGCCCUAUGACACCCCAGUAGUGGACCACACACAGCCAAGGUGAUUUAGCCCAUCACAACUGACAAUUCUAAAUUAGGUAGAUCAGAGCUUUAUUUCUCCUGUGUUACUUCAGCAUCAAACUGCUGGAGGCUGCCACCAUUCCUAACAUUUACCAGCCUUCCUUCUUUAUUGGAAAAGAAACAGAUAGAGUGACAGUUCUCUCUGCAUAAAAUUCUGCAGACCUUUCAGUAGAUAGUAUAUUUUAUGUUUCCUGUAUGUAGCAAACAUCAGCCUCACAAUUCUUGUAAUUUAAUUCACCAUUUUCUACAGAACUGUGAACACUUUUGCAAUUCUAAUAUACUAGAAAGCAUUUCAAUUAGUUCAUUGCAAUUCCAGGGGAAGGGGAUUUUGUAAAAAUCAUUUUACAGAUGAUUUUACAGGUGAGAUGUUUUCCUCUAAGUAUUAUUAGAAAGUUCCAAAGGGAACAUGCAAUUACUAAAUUGUCUAUUAAAUUUGUAUAUUUAUAUAUGCAUCCAAUAAGAAUACAUUUAUAUUCGUGUGUAUACAUACAUAGACACAUAUUCCAGUUUAGUUUCUGAUGUUGUGAUAAAACCCUGAACAAAAUCAACUUGGAAAGGAAAUAAUGUAUUUGUCUUUUACUCCUGUGCUGUAGUUCAUCAUUGAGAAAAUUCAGUGUGGAAACUCAAACAGGAAGCAAAAAUUAAAGCAGAGGCUGUGGAGAAAUGCCCCAACAUCAUGCCCCAUGACACCCCAUCAGUGGACCCCACACAGCCAAGAUAAUUUAGACCACCACAACUGACAAUUCUAAAUUAGGCAAAUGUGAGCUUUAUUCUUCCUGUGUGCAUUCAUGGUCUCCAUGGCUUGCACAGCUUGCCUUCUUAUAAUACCCAAGACCAACUUGCUGUGGGUAGCACUGCCUACCAUGAUCUGAAUGAAUCCUCUUAUUGUCAAUCAUUCAUCAAGAAAAUGUCUCUCUUCCACAGACAUUCCUAAAAAAUAUCUGGUGGAAGUGAUUUACAACUUGAGGAUCUCUUUUCCCAUAUAACUCUUGUUUGUAGAAAGUUGACAAAAACUAACCAUCGAAACACACAAGCACACACACACACACACACACACACACACACACACACACACCUACCUCUUUGUAUUUUCUUGGUAUGUCUUCAGAAUUGGAGUAAAUCCAUGGCUUCAGUUCUUACUCCUUGGUAAGUUAGUUUGAGGUCUGGUGCCAGUUGUUUCCACUGCUGCCCAGGAAGCUCUAAUAGAAUAUUCUAAGCCAGAGGCCACCAUUUCUAUUAUGAUGGGCACUAUGUACAAUGUGAAUUACUAUGUACAAUGAGCAUUACAGGUAAGCUCUGCAGGAAAUCAGUAAUUUAAGUGAAGAUUAAACCAUCAGCAAAUCACCCCACUUACUUGCCCAGCUAAAACCUCUCUCAUCUAGGUUGCCUUCCACAGAGAUUAUUUGUUCUUCCAAUCCUUCUUUCCAUUCCUGCUGUAGCAAUGUAAUUUUUACAACAUGAAAAAAUAACUUAUGCAUACCCAUUUUUUACACAAUAGAUUACAAACUGUGAAGGUAAUUUUACUGUCAAAAUUAUUUUUAGAACUUAUUUAGGGAAUUGUAUAGUAUUGAGACUACUGAAGUGAAAUUAUUGUUUAUUACUUAACAAACUUUGUAGGGUUGUUUAUAAAAGUGAAUAGAACUCCCCUGUCCCUCUCUCUGGGUGGACUUUUGGCAUAUGCUACUCCAUACCCCACCCCUACACCUUCCUAUUUUCCUUUCAAUUUGAGCUUUGCCAAUUACCACACUUUGUCCAAUAUCACUUUAGCAAGAAUGACAAAGGCAGAUGCUUGUCAAAGCUGCCAUAUCUGCUGUCCUCAUUUAAAAGAAGCUUGAACUACUUUCCAGGAAGCCCCCACCCCCCAAAAAAAAGCACAGGAGAGACCUGUCAUGUGUCAUGUCAGCUAAGGGAACUGGACCAAAUACUAGCCACAUGAUAGUGGCUAAAAUAUACUAAGACGACCUGUCCACUAAUAGAUAAAACUAUACCUUACCCAAAGAUGCAUGAGAAUAGAGAAUACAAUUGUUUUCAAUCACGACUUGGCAAUUUAUAGCUCAUGGGACAAAUCUUUGACAUCAGUUGUUUUAACAGUGCAGAAUCUGGGGAACACAGACAUAUGUAUUUAUUUGUAUGUUACGUCAACUGUUUCAAGUCGCACAAAAGGGGUAAAGUUGAAUAAUAAUCAAAGACUGGACGGCCCGAAGAACCUUCUUCUCUUGUGGGGGAAACUUUGUGAACUCUUGCUUUGAGUCUAAGAGGUAGGGUAAUUUGUUGGGCAGCGAUAAAUUACCCCGACAUUUGCCCAAAGGGAACAUGCCUCAUUUCUUAUUAAACCAAUAAAUUCCUAUGCUCACAAAAAAAGAAACUACAUAUGCAUUUGCAGAGCCAAUAACCUUUUCUGUGGAUAGAGCUUUUUGUUCUGCUUGCAUUUCUAAAGUACAUUUAUGCAGACAGCUAGUUUUACACCCGUGUUGGCUCCUUAUUCACCAUAGCCAUGGUGCUGAGCACGAGGUUACUUUUUCAGAAGUGUAUUUCUGAGUUCCUACAUUUUAUGUUACCCCAUGUUUGUGUUUUCCUUUCUGAAGUAAGAAGGGAGGAGAUGGAAACAUUUCUUGGGGCUUCUCUUUACCUUCCUCCCACUCUUCCAACUAACUGGAAUCUGUAGCCACUUGAUUCAAUAUCCCAAGUAGUCAAAUAUGUUGGAGAAGUAGGGUAUAAAAGCUAUUCAAAUAAUUUAAGCCAUCUUUUUCUCUUUCUAGAACUCCAUGGAACAUGACUUCUCACAAUUUAGAUAUUGAUCUCCAAAUUAGAAAGAGGUGCCUGUAAGUACUAACCAUGGAGAGUCCUGGUCCACGUGAGGUGCUCUGACUGACAUGGCUGGCUUCUUGUACAGGAACCUAGCAUAAAUAUCAUCAUAGAUGCUUCAACCAGCAAUGGAUGGAAACCAAUGCAGAGACCCACAUUCAAACAGGCUGAGUUUGAAGAAUCCUAUGGAAGAGAGGAAGAAUUGGAGGAACCAGAUCAGCAAGAAAACCUGCAAGAUCUACUAACCUGGGACCAUUAGGGGCUUGUAGAGACUGAAUUGUCAUCCAGAGAAUAUGCAUGGGACAGAUCUAGGCCUUCUAUACAUUUGUAGCAGUUGAGAAACUGGGUUGUCAUGUGGGACUCCUAAAGCAGAAACAGGGUCUGUUUCUGACUACAUUGCUGGUCUUGGGAUGCCUUUUCCCUGACUGGGCUGUCUUGUCUAGCUUCCAAAGCAGAAGGUGAGACAAGUCUAACUGCAACUUGAUAUGCUAAGGCUGGUUGCUAUGCGUGGGAGGAGCUUCCCAUUCUGAGGAGAAUGGAAGGAAUGGAUGGAGUAGAAGGGAAAAGAAGAAUGAGGGACUUGGAGGAGAGGAGAGAGGGGAAACUUCAAGCAGGAUGUAAAGUAAAUAAACAAAUAAAUAAAAACAAUUAAUGGAAAAAAGAAAGAAAAACAAAAGGCCUCCAAUCAAAGUUCUAAGUUUCUUCAUUAAUUAAUCAAAAAAAUCACAAUUUAACCACAAAACGAGAAGAGGAAAAAAAAACUUUAAAAAUGACAAUAGAAAUAUGCGGCAUAGGAAAAGAGUAGAUAAAAACCAAAGAAACCAACACUGACAUUUUGGUAAGAUGAAUAGACUUGGGAAAAGCCUAUUGUCAAGUUGUCAAGCCUAUUGAGACAAAAAAAUAGAAACACAGAUGAUGGCUGGCGUUAGAAACGGAAAGAAGACAUUGGUGUGGAUACUGUAGACAUUAGGGAACAAUGUGAGAACAUUCUAAAUACUUGAACUAAUGGUUGAUAAAUUCAAUGAAUCAUACAAAUUCUUUCAGACAUGUAACAUGAGAGCUUAUUCAAAAAUAGACUCACAUAACUGUGUAUCUAUAUAAGGCUUCAAUUUAUGCAUCACUUAUAAAACCUUCUAAA